AUCACGCUGGCGGCUGCUUUACACAUGCAAGUCUGAACGGCGAGACACGGUGAGCUAUCCUGGUUGGCUGAGUGGCGAACGGGUGAGUAAUAUAUCGGAACUGUGCCCAGUUCGUGGGGGAUAACGCAGCGAAAGCGUGUGCUAAUACCGCAUACGAUUCUACGGAUGAAAGCGGGGGAUCGCAAUGACCUCGCUGCGAUUGGAGUCGGCCGAUAUCAGGAUUAGCUAGUUGGUGGGGUAAAGUGCCCUACCAACGCGACGAUCUGUAGCUGGUCUGAGAGGACUAACACGCCACACUGGGAGAACUUGAGACACGGUCCCAAGACUCCUACGGGAACGCAGCAGUGGGGAAUUUUUGGACCAUUGGGCCGCAAGCCUGAUCCAAGCACAUGCCGCGUGCUAGUGAUGAAAGGCCUUCGUGGGUUGUUAAAACUGACUUUUUAGUACGAGAGACGAAGAGCAGGGCUGAGCUCUAAUUACACGUUUGACUACAUUUGAGCAGGUUACCGUCAGACGAAUAAAGCGACCCGCGCGUAUAACUAUCGUUGUCCACGACAGCCGCGGUAUAUACAGUAGGGUGUCGAGCGUUAAAUACUGCGAAUUAUCUGUGGGCGUAAAGACGUGUCGU
rnacentral:rRNA from 1 species